UACGUAGGGUGCAAGCGUUAAUCGGAAUUACUGGGCGUAAAGCGUGCGCAGGCGGUUGUGUAAGGCAGAUGUGAAAUCCCCGGGCUCAACCUGGGAAUGGCAGUGGAUACUGGAUCGCUAGAGUGUGGUAGAGGAUGGUGGAAUUCCCGGUGUAGCGGUGAAAUGCGUAGAGAUCGGGAGGAACAUCAGUGGCGAAGGCGGCCAUCUGGAUCAACACUGACGCUGAGGCACGAAAGCGUGGGGAGCAAACAGG
rnacentral:rRNA from 1 species